rnacentral:rRNA from 1 species
GAGUUUGAUCCUGGCUCAGAGCGAACGUUAGCGGCGGGCUUAACACAUGCAAGUCGAACGAGAAAGCUACCUUCGGGUGGUGAGUAAAGUGGCGGACGGGUGAGUAACACGUGGGUAACCUACCCUUUGGCGGGGGAUAACAGUUCGAAAGGGCUGCUAAUACCGCAUAAGUCCGCGGACUCUUCGGAGUCUGUGGGGAAAGCUGGCCUCUACAUGUAAGCUAGCUCCAGAGGAGGGGCCCGCGUCCCAUCAGCUUGUUGGUAGGGUAACGGCCUACCAAGGCAGAGACGGGUAGCUGGUCUGAGAGGAUGAUCAGCCACACUGGGACUGAGACACGGUCCAGACUCCUACGGGAGGCAGCAGUGAGGAAUAUUGCGCAAUGGGGGAAACCCUGACGCAGCGACGCCGCGUGGAGGACGACGCCCUUCGGGGUGUAAACUCCUUUCGACGGGGACGAAUGCCCGCAAGGGUUUGACGGUACCCGUAUAAGAAGCCCCGGCUAACUACGUGCCAGCAGCCGCGGUAAUACGUAGGGGGCAAGCGUUGCUCGGAAUUACUGGGCGUAAAGGGUCCGUAGGCGGUGGGGCAUGUCGGUUGUGAAAUCUCCCGGCUUAACUGGGAGGGUGCGAUCGAAACUGCUCCGCUAGAGGGCCGGAGAGGCGAGUGGAAUUGCUGGUGUAGCGGUGAAAUGCGUACAGAUCAGCACGAACACCGGAGGCGAAGGCGGCUCGCUGGACGGCACCUGACGCUGAGGGACGAAAGAUAGGGGAGCAAACAGGAUUAGAUACCCUGGUAGUCCUAGCCCUAAACGAUGGUCACUUGCUGUGCCGGACGUACGUUCGGCGUGGCGGAGCUAACGCGUUAAGUGACCCGCCUGGGGAGUACGGUCGCAAGGCUGAAACUCAAAGGAAUUGACGGGGGCCCGCACAAGCGGUGGAGCAUGUGGUUCAAUUCGACGCAACGCGAAGAACCUUACCCGGGCUUGAAGUGCGCAAGACCAUCUUGAGAAAUCUAGACUUCCCGCAAGGGACUUGCGUAGAGGUGCUGCAUGGCUGUCGUCAGCUCGUGUCGUGAGAUGUUGGGUUAAGUCCCGCAACGAGCGCAACCCUUAUCCUUAGUUGCCAGCGGUUACGCCGGGCACUCUAAGGAGACUGCCCGCGACAAGCGGGAGGAAGGUGGGGAUGACGUCAAGUCAUCAUGGCCUUUAUGUCCGGGGCUACACACGUGCUACAAUGCGCGCCACAGAGGGUUGCCAACCCGCGAGGGGGAGCUAAUCCUAGAAAAGCGCGCUCAGUUCGGAUUGGAGUCUGCAACCCGACUCCAUGAAGCUGGAAUCGCUAGUAAUGGCGCAUCAGAUCGGUGCCGUGAAUACGUUCUCGGGCCUUGUACACACCGCCCGUCACAUCACGAAAGGGGGCUGUACUAGACGUCGCUUCGCCAACCCGCAAGGGAGGCAGGCGCCCACGGUGUGGUCUCUGAUUGGGGUGAAGUCGUAACAAGGUAACC